rnacentral:sRNA from 1 species
GGAUGGAUCACCUCCUUUCUAAGGAAACCAAUAAAAUCAAUCAUCUUCAGUUUUGAAAGACUUAGGAUAACUAAGUUUUUCUUCGUGACUUCACGAAGGGCCUAUAGCUCAGUUGGUUAGAGCACACGCCUGAUAAGCGUGAGGUCGGUGGUUCAAGUCCAUUUAGGCCCACCAGAGUUAUAGGUGUCGUAAGAACACAAAUUCUUUGAAAAUUAGGUAAAUAAUAGUUAUUUUUCCGGAACAUUAAAGGAAAUAAGAGCGCACAGUGGAUGCCUAGGCACCAAGAGCUGAUGAAGGACGCAAUUAACGGCGAUACGCUACGGGGAGCUGUAAAUAAGUGUAGAUCCGUGGAUUUCCGAAUGGGGCAACCUACUAUAAGUAGUUAUAGUAUCAAUUUAUUAGGUAACUAAUUGAUUGAAAGGAAUCGCAGUGAACUGAAAUAUCUAAGUAACUGUAGGAAAAGAAAGUAAUAACGAUUCCGGUAGUAGUGACGAGCGAACCCGGAACAGCCGGAUACCAAUUUCUAGUUAUCAAAUUUUAAUUAACUCGAAAUAGUUGGAAAACUAUAUCCUAGAAGGUGAAAAUCCUGUAGAGGUAGAUUAAAAUCUAGGGUAUCCUUAAGUACGGCGAGACACGAGAAAUCUUGUCGGAAGAUAGGAGGACCAUCUCCUAAGGCUAAAUACUCCUUGGUGACCGAUAGUGAACUAGUACCGUGAGGGAAAGGCGAA